CAACUCGACUCCGUGAAGCUGGAUUCGCUAGUAAUCGCGCAUCAGCCAUGGCGCGGUGAAUACGUUCCCGGGCCUUGUACACACCGCCCGUCAAGCCAUGGGAGUUGGGGAUACCCGAAGCCUGUGAGCUAACAGUAAUGAAGCAGCAGUCGAAGGUAGAAUCAAUGAUUGGGGUGAAGUCGUAACAAGGUACC
rnacentral:rRNA from 1 species